rnacentral:lncRNA from 1 species
UUUUUAUCGGCAAAAUAUAAGCUAUCAAAAGCCUGCUUGGUAUUGAGACUCAUCUAAUGUUAUUAAAUAAAACAGAGUUAUGACGGCGGCUUAUAAAAAUAUGCUUUUCUAUUUUUUUUAUAGAAUAUCAGUAAACAUAUCGUAACUAACUUAUUGCAAUUUGCACUACGUGAUAUUACGCAUAGAAACAAACAAAAUAUUAUUUUAUCGUAUUUUUUCAUCCUACGCAAUAUAAUCUUUCUACAAAGCCAAAAAAAUAACCCUAAAUAAUUGAUAAGUGCUUUUCCAAACAGUUAUACUUUCUUAGCACUUUUCU